rnacentral:lncRNA from 1 species
CACUGAGUUUCAAAGGGCUUUAUAUGCUUGUACUUUUUCAAAAUUUUACUUGACAAAUGAUGACUAUCAUUAUUCAAAGGAUAAAAUGGAAUUAUUUGACUAUGGUUAAUAUGAAUAUAACACAUCCCCGAUGACCUGAAAUUGUAUUGCUUGGAUGCAGCUUUAAAAUGCUCUCCUGAAAAGGAAAUAGAAAAGGAAAACAAACAAGGAAUAUUAGUCACAUAUUUGUCUCCAUUGUUUUAUGUUGGUAUUUUUGCUGUUCUUCACACUCAAGUUUGAAUACCUUCCUGCACAUGCUCUUCAAAGACAAAAAGUUAUACAUAAAGCUCAUAUCAGCAGAAGCUGUUCUUGUAAUGAUGACAGACAAACCAAGUUUGAAAUCUACACUGCCAACACAAAGAAAGAACAUAUUCUGCUGAAUUCCAUAACCAGCUUUUGACGCUGGGAAGAAUGCUCAGGAAGUGAAACACAUAUCAUGCAAGUGUGAGGACUUGAGUUUAAAUUCCCAGAACACAUAUAAAGCUGGUUCAGAAGAGCAGGUCUAAAAUCCCAUCGUUCUUAUCAUGAGAUACGCAGCAAAGACAAGAGAAGCCCCAGAGUCUUAGAGGUAAAGCAUCCUUGCCUAUGCAGCAAUGGACAGUGAAGAGAGCGAGCCUGUCUUAUACAAGAUAGAAGGUAAGAACCAACACCCUCUGGGCUCCACAUUCCACUGAGAUGGAGGAUGCACGCGUGUGUGUGUGUGGACAGCAAUGGAUGCAGCAUUGCUAUGCAACAAUGGACAGUGAAGAGAGCGAGCCUGUCUUAUACAAGAUAGAAGGGAUGUACCCAGGAAGAAGCCAAUACUCUCAGAUUCCUUGAUGGGCAGGGAUAACAGGUGGAUCUCCUCCGGGGAUUGAUCUUCAGUCC